rnacentral:lncRNA from 1 species
AGCUAGGCUACUAUACCUUCGAAAGCACGGAGGUUUCCAUACUUUCAAGUUGUUUUCAAUAAUAAGACAUCCGAUUUAGCAAUCAACUUCAUUUGACAUAUUGUAACGCCCCAAUAGUCUCACAUCGGAUGGGAUACUGAUUCUGAUCAAUUUAUAUAAGACCUACUACAACAAAAUUAAGUUUUAAGUGAUUAUCUUUUAAAUUACUGGCAAUUAUAAUUGCCGCUAAAUGAUUCCGAGACAAUUAUGAUAAUUGUCGCUAUUGGUAGGGUUGGUAAAAAUUAUAGUGGCAUUUGUUCCGGCGGUUGGUAAAAGUCUAAAUAAAUGCUGCUAAAUACUAUAUAAUAACAACUAUUAUAAAUGUCACUAUAAUUAACUAUAAUUGCCACUAAAAAUAUACUAAAUGUUUGAUAAACAAAGUUUAUUGUGGCAAUUUCAUACUAAAAUAUUUGUUCCACAACUAAAUACUACAAUGAAUUAAAAUUUUAAAAAAUAGUAAUAACCAAAAAGUGUUACUAAUUUGUAUAAUAAAUAGUCUUCACUCUCAAAUUACAAUAUCAAUAUUCAAAUUAAAUUUCAGAGAUGAAUUCCAACAACAAAGUACUUGUUCGAAAUUUAACCAAAAAACAACAAAUUCUAAAUGACAGUAAACACUUAUAAUCUCGGAGAAAUCCCAAAUUAUAAAUCCUCAAAACUUAUUGCUCCACUUCGAAAGCUUAUUCAAGUUGAUGACAAGACCCAAAAAAUCUGUUUAAAAAGUAAUAUUUUUGCAAUUAGUGGUACAAAUAAGCAAUAUAAGUAAAUUCUCAUCAAAAGCAUCAAAUUUUUAAGUAGAUAUAGAUAGCAAUGUAUGUGUUACAUUUUGAUUGUAAGUUUCAAUCCUCACCAGGAGAGCUGAACUGUAACGACCCAGUACACUAGCAAUAAUAACUCGUUGGGCCCAGCUAACAGCCCAAAAUUCUUAAGCCCAGUUAUUAUUACUAGUGUCUAAGUCUCUUAUAAAUCCAAUGACAACCCCAUUGUAAUAUACCGAAACCUCGGUAGAGUAUAUCAAGCUUUUGUCGAAUCGACUAGAGUGUGCGAAAGAAAUAGUUGGACAAAGUCAAAUUAACAUUCCAACAAAGUUGGAAGGGUUAAAAGUAAGUUUAGAAGAGUUAAAAAGGUUUUAGCAAUGAUCGGAACGAAAUAGAAUCGAAAAGAUGCAAAAAUCUGAAAACUAGAGUUGUGUUACCGGUUUAACAUCAAAAGUGUACUGGUACAAGGCAGCUACCCGAGAGAGGUAGCUCUUGGGUUUGAGUAGAAAAAGGCUGUUGAACCGGUGACAGAAUUUCGUGUACCGGUACAGUGCACUGUGGACCGCAGGCAUAGUCUG